CUACGGGAGGCUCCAGUGAGGAAUAUUGCACAAUGGGGGGAACCCUGAUGCAGCAACGCCGCGUGGAGGAUGACGCAUUUCGGUGUGUAAACUCCUUUUAUAUGUCGAGAAAACGACGGUAGCAUAUGAAUAAGCACCGGCUAACUCCGUGCCAGCAGCCGCGGUAAUACGGAGGGUGCAAGCGUUACUCGGAAUCACUGGGCGUAAAGGACGCGUAGGCGGGUUGGAAAGUCAGGUGUGAAAUCCUACAGCUUAACUGUAGAACUGCACUUGAAACUUCUAAUCUAGAGUAUGGGAGGGGGAGAUGGAAUUAGUGGUGUAGGGGUAAAAUCCGUAGAUAUCACUAGGAAUACCUAAAGCGAAGGCGAUCUCCUGGAACAUUACUGACGCUAAGGCGUGAAAGCGUGGGGAGCAAACAGGAUUAGAUACCCCGGUAGUC
rnacentral:rRNA from 1 species